rnacentral:rRNA from 1 species
AUUGAACGCUGGCGGCAGGCCUAACACAUGCAAGUCGAGCGGAUGAAGGGAGCUUGCUCCUGGAUUCAGCGGCGGACGGGUGAGUAAUGCCUAGGAAUCUGCCUGGUAGUGGGGGAUAACGUCCGGAAACGGGCGCUAAUACCGCAUACGUCCUGAGGAAGAAAGUGGGGGAUCUUCGGACCUCACGCUAUCAGAUGAGCCUAGGUCGGAUUAGCUAGUUGGUGGGGUAAAGGCCUACCAAGGCGACGAUCCGUAACUGGUCUGAGAGGAUGAUCAGUCACACUGGAACUGAGACACGGUCCAGACUCCUACGGGAGGCAGCAGUGGGGAAUAUUGGACAAUGGGCGAAAGCCUGAUCCAGCCAUGCCGCGUGUGUGAAGAAGGUCUUCGGAUUGUAAAGCACUUUAAGUUGGGAGGAAGGGCAGUAAGUUAAUACCUUGCUGUUUUGACGUGACCAACAGAAUAAGCACCGGCUAACUUCGU